ACAGUUUAUUUUUAAUUUCUGUAUUUCUCCACAAUGAAUAUAGUAUAUUGAAAGCAUUUUGCAUAUCCUUUCUGUGAGAUAUGCAUCACUUUUGAUGAUAGUUUGUCACCAAGGCAACCAAACCUUUGCUUAAUGUCCUACACUUUAGUGAAAUAAAAUGCAUGUCAUUUUAAGUAUAGCUUCUUUUUUUAAUUCUUAUUUCUUCACUAGAGAAGGUUUGAGACUUUACUUUGAAUGAAAAUGGAACUGUUUAUGAAUCUAUUUUUCAUAAAACACAUCUUUCUAAGAUGUGUUUUGAGUGAUUAUUCUCAGGAAUAUCUGCAUUUCAGAUCUGAGGACCCAUUCUUCUCUCUCUCUGCCUUCUAAACUUGACAUGUAACAAUUAUAGUCAGAAUUAGCUUUUGGUCUUCACUCAUCAAAGCAAAUUGAACUACUUCAAUCCCAUUUGAAACACAACUGAGUAUAAAUAAGUAAAACAUUCAAAUAGAAAAUGAAAGUGAAGCUAUUCACAGAUCCAGCUUGUAGAGACAGGCUAAGCAGUCACCCUCAACCCCACUGGUUUCAAUUUCACUAUGUAGUACCAAAAUUAACAUUGGUGCUUCUGAAGAUUAUGUCGGAUAUAUGCAAAUUCCAAAAUCUCAACUCUUUCAGGAUUCCAUAGCCUGCUUUUCUCUUUGUAUAGUGUUUUCAUCUGUCAAGAGUAGUUUUGCUUCUAUUUGUUCAUGAGACUGUAUGUAAUGGAGAGUGAUUUUUCUAAGACAUAUUCAAAGCCUUCAGUAUGAAUGUGCUUUCCUCAGGUGGAGUUGAUUUGUUCUGUUUUACACCACUAACAAUACAGUCUGUUGGUUGGUUGGCUCAUUUAUUCAAGAGAAUAUGUAUGUCUAGGAAUGUGAGGAAGAAGGUGGUGAGAGCAGAGUUUUCAUCAAAUCUAUUCUGUGGAUCUGGAGAGAAUCAAACACAUAGGCCUUGUUAACUUCUCAGUGGGAAGUUAACAGCUGUCAACCAGGGAUGACUGUAAGAACUCUGUAGGAUUCUCAAACUGGUAUACAGUGAGUUCUCAUUUUAGUUAUUGUUUGUUUUUUGUUACCCCAAACUGAGUGGCUUUUAAUAGCUUAAACACAGAAUUUGUGAGCUGACCUUCAGGAGCUGCGAAAGUUGGAGAGAUUGGGAAGGGAAUGGUAAGAGGGUAGACCCAUCCAAUCCUUCAACAAUAUGAAGGAUAUGAAGACAAUCUCAAAGCAAUGAGUGAGUGACAGCAGCAUGACGGAGAGCCCACUUGUUUCCUAAAGUCUGUAUCAUGGUAAAAGAAGGAUGAACCUGGGAAACCAACCUGAGCCUGAGACAGGCCAGCGCUAACAAUAGAAUGCCCUCCAUGAUUCUGGCAUUCUAUCUCCAUGGAUCAGUUUCCCUAGGGUACUCCUGUUCUUCUCAGAUGCUUUCCUUCUUCAUAAGAUCUCCAAGAUUUUCACAGCAGCUCUCUUUUGACUUCACAAGAUGUUGGGAUGAAAAAACUGAAGUCUCAGUUCUUCAUAUGUAGUGAGUCAGGAUGCGCAGUGUUUAUGAGCAGGAGUGACUUCUUUGAGCCCUAGUUUUUUCCACUGUAAAGGGUAAAUAAUGUCUGCCUAGUCAUGUCUAUCAGAAAUCAAAUUUAAUAAUGCAUGACAGAUACUUUGCAUUUUAGCGGGCGCUACUUGUAUUGCUAUUUAUCUAUUCCACCACAUUUCUUGUAUUCUUAGUUGGUUUGUAAGAUUGCUAAAUACCAAGACCAUGUCUUAAACCUGUAGCUUUCGUGUCUAGUACUAAGCACUGUAGAUUUUGGGACUCAGUAAAUGUCUUUUUAUGAGUGCUGUGUGCGCUUGAUUCUUGAAAAAAAAAGCUUAAAACUUAUAAGAGCACUUACUGUGUGCUAUAUGCUAAGUGAUUUAUUUAUAUUAAAUCAGGCAAUUUAAAAACUCUAAGAGAAAUUGAUCAUUGCCAUUUUACAGACAAGGAAACAAAGACCCAGAGUUGAAGUAGUUUGACCAUGUGAUCCAACCAGGAUUUGAACACAGGCGGUCUGACCCUAGAGACCACUCCUUUUAUCACAAUGCUCUGUUAAAAAACACUUGUGAUCCCUCACAGGAUCAAUAACUUCCCUCAUUUAGGGAAAGAAGAGAAAAUAUCCAUGUCUGUACAAAAUGGGCAAGUGGCCAUCACUGCUUCUAAGACUGAGGUGAUUUUUGUAUGUGUUUUGUUCUAAGUAUGAGAGAAUAUUCUUCCUUUUUCAGGGAAGCAUGAGAAGUAAUCUCAGAGUGCAGAGAACAACUUCAGAAGCAAGAGUGUGGGUCAGAUGCUGCUGCUCUAGCAGUUAACUCUUGUUGAAGAGUGCUCUUUUUGCUUCAUGAAAAGUUCCAUGAAGAACCGUUAUUGCUCUAUACAACUAAACAAUAAGAACAAUUACAGCAAUAACAUAAUCACACUGAAAACAUGGAUUUGCCUGUAAGUCAUCACUGUCCAACUGAAAACAUGGAUUUGCCUCUGUGUGACCAACCAUCCUGGUUUCCUGAGAACUAGGACUUUCAGUGCUAAGACCAGGAGCGUCUUUCACACACUGAGACAAGUCAGUUGCCCUGCAUACAGAGGAGCUACCAAAAGAAUGGCUGAAUUAAGAAAUUACUAGACAACAUAAUACUCAAAGAAGACAAUUUAAUUCCUUGCGAAAAUCAUGCUGCUGCUGACCCUGAUCUUACUGCAAAACAUUGUACCUAACCAGAAUGGGGAGCAGAACAGAGUCAACUUUUGCGGAAACAGAUAAUCUAUAAGACCAAUCUAUUUGUCACCUUCAUGUUUUGAGUACUAAGAACAUACAAUGGGCAGUAACCCCUGUGGAACAGUUUUCAAGACAGAAACGAUAAAGUAGAGUUACAUAAAGAAAAAAAAAUGCAAGGGAAAAAUGAAGGUGAUUCUUGAGAUGUGAGUCAAACAUCUCUCAAUAUUUUGGAAAGCCCAAAUAUGAAGAUAUUACAUAUCAAAAUAAGUUGAGAAAUGACUCUUGGAUUCAAGCUUCGUAUCUACAGAACAAAUGCUAUUCACAAUAGCAAAGACUUGGAACCAACCCAAAUGUCCAUCAAUGAUAGACUGCAUAAAGAAAAUCUGGCACAUACACACUAUGGAAUACCAUGCAGCCAUAAAAAAGAUUGAGUUCAUGUUCUUUGCAGGGACAUGGAUGAAGCUGGAAACCAUCACUCUCACCAAGUGGAUAAGUCUCAUGAGAUCUGAUGGUUUUAUAAAUGGGAGUUUCCAUUCACAAGCUCUGCCUAGUGCUAUGUAAGAUGUGACUUUCCUUCUUAUUCUCCUUCUGCCAUGAUGGUGAGGCCUCUCAGACAUGUGAAACAGUAAGUAAAUUAAACUUCUUUCCUUUAUAAAUUACCUAAUUUUGGGUAUGUAUUAUUAUCAGUGUGAGAACAGACUAAUACAGUAAAUUGUUACUGGUAGAGUAGGGUGCUACUGUAAAGAUAGCCAAAAAUGUGAAAGCAAAUUUGGAAAUGGGUAACAGACAGAGGUUGGAACAGUUUGGAGGACUCUGAAGACAGGAAAAUUUGGAGCUUCCUAGAGACUUGUUUAAUGGCUUUGACCAAUAUGUUGAUAGCGAUAUGGACAAUGAAGUCCAGGCUGAGGUGAUCUCAGAUGGAGAUGGGGGACUUGUUGGGAACUAGAGUGAAGAUGAUCCUUGCUAUGUUUUAGCAAAGAAAUUGAUGGCAUUUUGCCCCUGCCCUAGAGAUUUGUGGAACUUUGAACUUGAGAGAGAUGAUUUAGGGUAUCUGGUGGAAUAAAUUUCUAAGCAGCAAAGGAUUCAAAAGGUAACGUAUUUGCUUUUGAUUUUACAGGUUCAUAGGAGGAAGAGACUUGCCUGUCUCAGAUAAAACUUUGGACUGUGGAAUUUUGAGUUAAUGUUGAGUAAAGUUAAAGCUCUGGGGAACUGUUGGUUCCCCAAAAGGCAUGACUGGUUUUGAAAUGUGAGGACGUGAGGUUUGAGAGGGGCCAGUGGUGGAAUGAUAUAGUUUAUCUGUGCCCCAUCCAAAUCUCACCUUGAGUGGUAAUAAUCCCCAUGUGUCAAUGAUGGGACCAGGUGGAGGUAAUUGAAUCAUGGGGGUGGUUCCUCCCAUACUGCUCUUGUGGUAGUGAAAAAGUCUCGUGAGAUUUGGUGACUUUUAUCCGUGCUCUGGAGUUCUCUUGCACAAGUUCUUUGCCUGCUGCUCUGUAAGAUGUGCUUUUUCUUCUAAUUUGCCUUCUGCCAUGAUUUUGAGGUCUCCCCAGCCUGGUGGAACUGUGAGUCAAUUAAACCUCUUUUCUUUAUAAAUUAACCAGUCUCAGGUAUGUCUUUAUUAGCGGUUUGAGAACAGACUAAUACAGGGGGAUAUGUUUUAUAAAGAAUGAGUAUUUUAUAGAAUUGUUUGCUAAGCCUAAAAGGGAAAAUUUUAAUGUAGUAGUUAAUUCUGCACAUAAAAACGCUAUAUAAAUGUUUAAAUCAUUUUUGAUUAUGUCUAUCAUAAAGCACAUCCUGUGAGUUACUGAAAUGAGAGUGAAUUUUUGAAACCAAAUGAGAAUCCUUCAGUGUAAUUUAGGUGUUAUGUUUUAAUUUAAAGGAUCUAUAUUGAUAUUCCUCGAUCAUUCAUCUUGGUGCCUUGAAAUGUCCAAAACACACCAAGUGAUUUCUAGCCAUUGUAUAGAAUUCUAAACACAUACAAAAUAUUACACCCAAAUGAUAUAUUAUUUGGAAAUGAUGAGCUGGGUUCACUUGCCUUUCUAUGCUCCUCCCAUCCAAUUCUAUUCUCCAGAUAUCAGUAAAGUGGGAAUUUACAAGUUUCUCUUUUCAGCACCUGUAUUAGUUUCCUAAGAUUGCCAUAACAAAGUACCACAAAUUGGGUGUGGCUUAAAACAACAGAACUUUAUUGUCUCACAGUCUGGUGGCUACAAGUGUAAAAUCAAGGUGUCAGCAGAGCCAUGUUCCCUUUGAACCGAGGAUCCUUCCUUGCCUAUUCCUAGCUUUUGGUAUCUGACAGCAAUCUUUAGUGCUCACUGGCUUGCGGCUGCCUAGCUCCAAUCUCUGCAUUCAUCAUCGCUUUCUCUUUGCGUGUCUUUCUAUCUUCACAUGGUUGUCUUGUUAUAAGGACAUUAGUCAUUUUUUAUUAUGGGCCCACACUACUCUAGUAUGACCUCAUUUGAAGUAAUUACAUUUGACACAAUUCUGUUUUCAAAUAGAGUAACAUUCUGAGGUACUGCGGGUUAGAACUUCAACGUAUCUUUUUCUGAUGGGGGGCAGGAUUCAACAUAUAGUACAAUUUUAUUUUGGACUGGAAACACAGCUUUCUUAUAGAAAACUGCUCUUUAAUUAUCUCAAUGAUCUAAUAGUUCUAGUGUAUCUGUCUCCAGGUUCAGUACAGGUACACAGUACUCGGUAUUCAGCUAUAGGUUGGUCCAGAGGUUGGAAUAUAACGUAAUCUAUAUCAGAGUCCUUUCUUGGGAUUUUAAAAACUGGAUCUAGAGAAAAGAUUUGGCUUUCUUUGUGAUGAAUGAUGUGAAAUGUGGGACAUGCCAAUACCUGUUUUUAGACUCAUGAAGAAAAUCGUUCUCCGAGAAAUAGCAGCAAAGCAGAGAUAAGAGAUAAAAGAGAACCUUGGCUAUAAUUGUAUAAAGUCUCAUUUAGCUUCAGAUAAUUUGAAGAGUUCAUUUUCUUUUAAUUAAAAAAAGUGUGUGUAUUUGUGUGUGUGUAUAUCUGAGUCUUUUGUCAGAUAUUUAUAUUUUUAAAUAUAUUCUCCCACUCACUGGCUAAUCAUUUUACUCUCUUAAUGUUUUCUUUUGAAGUAUUGUGGUUAUUCAAUGUAGUGUAGUCUAAUAUAUCUUCUUUUAAAAUAUUUCUUGAGGCUAUGAUAUGUAGUACGUACAUAUUGAGAAUCGUGAUGUCUUUCUGUUGUGUGGAGCCUUCUAUCAUUAUAAGUGGCUCCCUUUUUCUAAUAAUGCUUCAUACUUUAAACAUGGCCGUACAUGCUUUAGUAUAUCUAUACCAGCUAUCUUUCAAUUAGUCUUUAGAUAUUUCUUUUUCCAGUCUUUUACUUUCUAUCUUUCUAUGUUCUCAUAUUUGUCUGUAUUAUG